CUUGCGAGGAACUGAAUCCUACCAACAACCAGAGCAUGAACUUAGAAGCGGACCCGUCUCUAGAUGAGCCUUGAGAUGACUGCAGCCCCAGUGAACACCUUGACGGCAGCCUUGUGAGAGGUCCUGAGCCAGAGAACACUGCUAAGCCGCACCAGAUUCCUGACCCACAGACCUUACAAGAUAGAGAGGAUACUGCCUCCACCUCGCAGUCAGACAGACCCUGUACCAGCCCUAGAGGAAUAAGCUUGAAGUCAUUUCCAGGUAACCUUUGUCAUAUGAAAAUAUCACUGUCAUAUGAGAGGAUUUCUUCAGAAUCUGCUGGUCUUUGAAUAUCCAUUCAUAUUUAAGGGUGAGGUACUAAAAAG
rnacentral:lncRNA from 1 species